GCUUAGAAGUCAUUCCAAAAUCAAACCUGGAAAAUGGCAAUACCAAACAAUCUGCAUUGUUGCCAAGAAAAUAGUAUAGUAUAGCAUAAAUAUUUAGACAAAUUUGGGUUUGAGAUAAAUUGUGGCUGCUCUGAAAAUGUCCCUGCUUCUGGGACAGAGCCAUGUAGCCAAGAAAAGCCACCUUUCCUCUCUUGCUCUCCUUUCCCAGUGUGAGCUCAGAAGUUCAGGAGAUCUACAGUACAAAAGUGUUUGCCCAUAUGACUGAGGUAAUGAUGGAACAGACUGAAUAAUUCUGUGGCAAAUUGCAAUGUCUACUGAAUGCAGCAUCAAGAGAGCACAUAGUAUUAUGAAAGGAAACAUGCAUGCAAACUUUACACCUGGCUAUAUGGGUUGGACAAGAUUUGAACCAAAUGGAUUACAUAAUAGGAAAAAAAGUUGAGAAGUGCAAUUCAAUCAGCCAAAUCACUUCCAGGAGCAGAUUGUGGUACAAAGACAAGAGAAACUCAUCUGGACACAAUGUUAUUUCUAUCUUUCCAUCCAAGAGACCCAAGAAACACACCAAAUUAUUUAGAGAUGGGAGGCAAAACAAAACACUGUGGAAGAAGAUUGGGCUAUAAACUUCUAGAUUAAGAAGGCAGGUAAGGAUUGACUGACAAGAAGUAGAGCAUCUUUCCCUUUUGUUUUGCAGUGAUUUUGAGGUUUCUGAGGAAGACAGGAGAGAAUAUUGUUGGCUUAGCAGGAAUCUUGGAGAAGACAUAGUGUCUGGCACACUGGCUGCCUUUAACAAGACAGCUAUAUUUCAGGAAAAGACCUCUUGCUAUUAUUCCCUGACAUUUUAGCCAUGCAGUGCCUUCUGACUGCACAGAAACUCUGCCUUUUGUUUUUGAACAAAUUAUAAUGAAUUACCUGUAACUAA